rnacentral:rRNA from 1 species
GACGUAGGUGGCGAACGUUAUCCGGAAUUAUUGGGCGUAAAGGGUGCGUAGAUGGUCUGCUAAGUUAGCAGUGGCAAAUCGGGGCUCAACCCCGCGGAAGUUGCUAAUACUGGCAGACUACGAGGACAGGAGAGGUUGACGGAACUCCCGGUGGAGCGGUGAAAUGCAUAGAUAUCGGGAAGAACACCAAAGAGGCGAAGGCAGUUAACUAUUCUGUUCCUGACAUUGAGGCACGAAAGCGUGGGGAGCAAAACGG